ACGGUCUUGUUGUAUCACACCG
rnacentral:siRNA from 1 species